GCCUUCGUGGUGUAGUGGUCAGCACGCGCGACGCGUAUUCGAGAGGUCCGUGGUUCGAGUCCCGGCGAGGGCU
rfam:Stegodyphus mimosarum contig19380, whole genome shotgun sequence.